UGGGGAAUUUUGGGCAAUGGGCGAAAGCCUGACCCAGCAACGCCGCGUGAAGGAUGAAGUAUUUCGGUACGUAAACUUCGAAAGAAUAGGAAGAAUAAAUGACGGUACUAUUUAUAAGGUCCGGCUAACUACGUGCCAGCAGCCGCGGUAAUACGUAGGGACCAAGCGUUGUUCGGAUUUACUGGGCGUAAAGGGCGCGUAGGCGGCAAUUCAAGUCAUCUGUGAAAUCUCCGGGCUUAACUCGGAACGGUCAGAUGAUACUGCUUUGCUAGAGUGCAGAAGGGGCAAUCGGAAUUCUUGGUGUAGCGGUGAAAUGCGUAGAUAUCAAGAGGAACACCUGAGGUGAAGACGGGUUGCUGGGCUGACACUGACGCUGAGGCGCGAAAGCCAGGGGA
rnacentral:rRNA from 1 species